CGGGGUAACAGCCCACCAAGCNUAAGACGGGUAGCUGGUCUGAGAGGACGACCAGCCACACUGGAACUGAGACACGGUCCAGACACCUACGGGUGGCAGCAGUCGAGAAUUUUUCACAAUGGGCGCAAGCCUGAUGGAGCGACGCCGCGUGGGGGAUGAAUGGCUUCGGCCCGUAAACCCCUGUCAUUCGGGAUCAAUGCGUUUGGGUGAACAUCUCAAGCGUUGAUAGUACCGGAAGAGGAAGGGACGGCUAACUCUGUGCCAGCAGCCGCGGUAAUACAGAGGUCCCAAGCGUUGUUCGGAUUUACUGGGCGUAAAGGGUGCGUAGGCGGUCGGAUAAGUCUAGUGUGAAAUUUCGGAGCUCAACUCCGAAACUGCAUUGGAUACUAUUCGGCUAGAGGUUGGGAUGGGAGACUGGAAUUCUCGGUGUAGCAGUGAAAUGCGUAGAUAUCGAGAGGAACACCAGUGGCGAAGGCGAGUCUCUGGACCAAUCCUGACGCUGAGGCACGAAAGCCAGGGGAGCAAACGGGAUUAGAUACCCCGGUAGUCCUGGCCCUAAACGGUGCAUGUUUGCUGUAAGAGGAAUCGACCCCUUUUGUGGCGGAGCUAACGCGUUAAACAUGCCGCCUGGGGAGUACGGUCGCAAGAUUAAAACUCAAAGGAAUUGACGG
rnacentral:rRNA from 1 species